ACUGACUCUUCUAGCCUUUUGUUGCCCCUGUCCCAAUUUUUUUGCGAUGCAUCGCUGCCAUCAAAUUCUCAUUGAGCUCAUAUUUUAUAAAAUAGGCACAAUUUAAACAUUUCAUAUGUUUGUUUUUUCUAUUCUGUUGUUAACUGAGAUUGAGAUUUGGAGAUCAUUGCAUUCUGUUUUUAUUUACAUUUUACACAGCAUCCCAACUUUUUUGGAAUUGGAUUUGUAUGACAACCUGUAUAUGUUUGCACAUAAAACACAACACGGUUAUGGUGAUGCCACACACAAGAAGCCAGACCACCACGCGCGCCAGGUAAUGCCUCCAUAAUGUAGAUUUAUUAGAAUAUUCAGAGUAGUGCUAUAACAUCUCAUUCACUCGAGCUUUCUGUCAGUCUGUAGUUGUUGUUGACGCGUUGGUCCGUGAGACAGGCGCUCUGCAAUGAAAUGGAUCUGUAAAGCAAAAAACCAAAAACAAAGCCUACCUAAUAUUUAUAUUACUAAUUACAGAAUUUACAGUCACAAAACUUUAUGGGGCAGUUCAAAUAAAUGCACAGGUUUCUCACUGACAUAAUAAAAAUAUUAAAUACUUUUUUUUUCUUCCUCAGAAACCAGUGAGUUUCAUCAAAAUGCAAUAGAGGUGAUUUACAAGCAACUCUCGCAAGCUAAAAAAAAAAAAAAAGGAAAGAAGAAACAAAAUCUGAGUAUUAAUGCGGAUACAGUACAAAACUCCAUCUCUCAGUGUAUUGCCAGAUUACCCCACAUGUCACCUAUGGGAGAGAAACGUAUGACUCGUAAGCCUGCUAAAGACCCUAACCCGGACUGCGACCUGCUGUACAAACUCAUUUGUUCGCUUCAGUCCGGUCAGAGACGUCAGAUAUAAUCAGGCUACAAUCUGCUUUAUUCCGAACAAAGAACGGGGGAGGAAGUAGCAGCAUAUGAACUAAAAAUGGAGUCGAAACACCUUAAAGUCUCCAACUCUUUGCCUUGCAAAAGUCUGACAAACUGUUUGAUAGAUAAAGGCAUGAUGGGACGGCGAGAGUGUGGGAUUCUGGAGGACUUGAUACAGUAAAGAAGGAGGGGGGAGCGUGAGGUGAACUGGGGAUGUCUGGUCUAGACCCGGCAGGUCUAAUUGGAUUUUUGGGUGCCCCUGCUCUGCUUGGCAAAGAG
ensembl:lncRNA